CACAUGAGUAGUAAUUUAUAUUUUUGAGCAGCAAAAGCUGAACAGAUGGCUUUUGGUUGCAUAAUGUCAAAAGGGUUUUGAGUUGAUGGCUAACCCCAUUUCCAGUUUUAAUUCAUCUACCGAGGAUGGCCACCAGUGUGAACACCAGCAUCAUGGGCCCAUACAGCUCCCCGGCAAUCUUCUAUUGUUGGAAAAUAGGAGCAGGGAAAACAUUUUAUAUUUCCUUUUAAUUGGCCAGCUGGCCCUUGAUACCCUUCAUGCCCAGAAACUCGCCAUCUUCUCCAGUCUCCUCUUCAGUUGCUUCCGCCUCCUCUGCCACCUCUUCCUCCUCCUUCAUGCGCUGGUGCAUCUCCCCCAUGUCCUCAAAGCUGGAGCCCGAUGUGUCAUCCGUGUUCUCCAUGUCAAUCACUGCUGACCCAGUGCCCUGCAUCUCUAAGCCUGAGCGAGAUCUUAGAAUCGUCCAGCAGCAACAAGGACACGGAAGGAGUGAAGAGGAGAAGGAGGUGCAAAGGGUGGUCAAGUCACCAUGGUGUCCUACCUCGUCAACAACCCCAACAACAUACUGUCGGUCCCCGCACCAGACCUAGAGUAUCUCGGCUCACACACCCACUCCCAUGACAUCUCUCAGGCUCCAAGAGUUCCAUUCCAAGCCCUGGCUAUGGUGGAGCCAGACAGAGUACCCUCCAACAUCACAACACCUCUACCCAUCAUCACAAAAAGAGGCUGAGCCCCCUACAGCGUAAAUGCUUCACUGCAGACGGUCUAGACAGACCUGCUGCCCCCCCCCCCCCCCCCUUUCCACCUGUACCAACUCCUGGAGUGCAUUAUGGAAGAGGCGGAGGGCAAGCUGAACGAGCUGGGCCAGGCUGAACUGGAAGAGGUGGCUGCAGCUACAGUAUGGUCCAUUUUGUGUCUACCACAGUUUCUAACACUGACAGGAAAAGACAAGCACUGCUGUGAAGGAUCCUGCCUGACCCAAAUACUUCAAAUGGCACAAUUACAUAAGCGGCUGUCUGUUUGACAGGUGUUUAUCGAAAGGAAACAACAAGAACACUAUCCCUCACAAAAACACAGGGUGUGGGCUGUCAACCCCCCCCCCCUAUGGCAGAGAGAGGGUCUGGUUGAAGUCAUCCACUGCAGAGCUGAUCCAACCCAUCUGGAUCCUCACAGGACAGUCAUGACAAGGCCUGGCGUGACGUUUUGUUAACCAUGCAUUAUCACUCAUACUGUGGUACUUUAUUAUUGUGGUCGAAUUACCCCUACCCUGACCGACAGUCCCCUCACGAUAUCACCCUCCCCUGUCCAAUCCCCCUUGCAACAGAGACAGGACUCAGCUCCUUCACCACCUUUAAAUACCCAGACCCGUCACUAGUCAGUGUGGUAGACCUGACCAUUUCAAUUUGCAAGUGUUUUGUUACAAGACACAUUUUUGCUUGUAAUCCUUUCCUUUGUGUAUUU